GUUGUAGAGCAUAAGGGCAUACGGAGGAUGGCUCGACAGAACGUGCCGAUGAAGGACGUAGCAGCCUGCGAAAAGCUUCGGGGAGGUGGCAAGCAACCUUUGAUCCGGAGAUAUCCUAAUGGGGAAACCUAAUGCGGGGAAUGCCGCAUUGUCCUGCGCUGAAUACAUAGGCGCAGGUCGGGCACCUGGGGAAGUGAAACAUCUCAGUACCCAGAGGAAAAGAAAAAGAUAUUGCUCGCACAUAUGAAUUCAUUGUGUGAGUCCAUUCCCUAAGUAGUGGCGAACGAAAGGGGAACAGCCUAAACCGUUCUUGUGAAAUUUUCGUGAGCAAGCGGACGCAAGUCUUAAUGCGAUCGGUGAUGAAAGAUGGAAGUCGUUGCAAGAUCGGUGUUGUAAGGGGUCGCGUCGUGUCCUUCCAGGCACGAAUGUGAGGUGAGACAUAUAGCGGAGUCCGCUGGAAAGUGGAACCAAAGAGGGUGAUAGUCCCAUACGCAAAAUAUUUUCUCGCCAGCAUAGCGACAUUCCUUAAGUACCACGAGACUCGAGAAAUCUUGUGGGAAGCUACCGCGACUAUGUGGUAAGGCUAAAUACAUGUUCUGAUCGAUAGUGAACUAGUACCGUGAGGGAAAGCUGAAAAACACCCCGGAAGGGGGAUGAAAUAGUUCUGAAACCGUAUGCUUACAAGGAGUCAGAGCCUCGCAAGGGGUGAUGGCGUUCCUAUUGAAGAAUGAGCCAACGAGUGUGCUGCAUGUCGCUUGGUUAAGCCCUCCGGGGCGAAGCCGUAGUGAAAGCGAGCGUUAACCCGCGUGUUCUCAUAAUAUACUCCGCGCACCUGCAAAGGCGCGUGCGAGUAUAUUAUGAGAUGGUGGCAUGCACACGACCCGAAACCCGGUGACCUAACCUUGGCCAGGCUGAAGCGACCGUAACAAGUCGUGGAGGGCCGCACCCACCAGCCGUGCAAAACUGGGGGAUGAGCUGAGGUUAGCGGAGAAAUUCCAAUCGAACUGGGUAAUAGCUGGUUCUUCCCGAGAUAGCUUGUGGGCUAGCGUCGGCAUAUCGUCAUGUUGGGGGUAGAGCACUGAACGGGAUUACCGCCGCAAGGUAGGUAUCCUAAUCAAACUCCGAAUACCAGCAUGCCGGCCGGCAGUCAGACGAUGGGGGCUAAGCUCCAUACGUCGAGAGGGCAACAGCCCAGAUCUCAAACUAAGGUCCCUAAAUUGACGUUAAGUGUAAAAGGUGGUGGAAGGGCUUAUACAACCAGGAGGUUGGCUUAGAAGCAGCCAUCCUUUAAAGAUAGCGUAAUAGCUCACUGGUCAAGCUCUUCUGCGCCGAAAAUGUACCGGGGCUCAAACGUCAUACCGAAGUUGAGGGCAGGACCGUAAGGUCCGAGCGGUAGGGAAGCAUUCGUAUUGCGCUGAAGUUGUGCCGUGAGGCAUGGUGGAGCGAUGCGAAGUGAGAAUGUUGGCAUAAGUAGCAUGAAAAGGGGUGAGAGUCCCCUUCACCGUAAACCCAAGGUUUCCUGGGCAACGAGAAUCGACCCAGGGUGAGUCGGGAGCUAAGGCGAGGCCGUCCGGCGUAGCCGAUGCACAGCAGGUUAAUAUUCCUGCACUCUGUUCGUGACUGAAGCGGGGACGCUUCAUGAAAUUUCCCGCGUCCUAUGGCUAUGACGUUGGGCACAUCUUGGUGGCUGGUAGGCAAAUCCGCCGGCCGUUAAACUCGGAUGUGAUCGCAAGGGGCAGCAAUGCCUCAAGGGGAAAGGACAUGGAGCCCAGAAAAGCCGCUAGGGUUAAUCGCGAAUAGACCCGUACCGAUAUCCGACACAGGUGGGUGGGCGCGUAAUGUGCCAAGGUGUACGAGAGAAACUACGUUAAGGAACUCGGCAAUUAAGUGGCCGUAACUUCGGGAUAAGGCCUGGUUUUCUCCGGGAGGAGAAGACCCGCAGCGAAAGACGUAAACCGACUGUUUACCUAAAACACAGGUCCGUGCUAAAUCGAAAGAUGAUGUAUACGGGCUGAUGCCUGGCCAGUGUCCGAACGUUAAAGAAGGGGGUCAUGUCCGCAAGGACGGCAGCCUUCGACUGAAGCGCGGAUGAACGCCGGCGAUAACUAUAAUCGUCCUAAGGUAGCGAAAUUCCUUGACGGGUGAGUUCCGUCCUGCACGAAUGGCAUAACGAGUUUACGACUCUCUCAACGUAGUCCUCGGCGAAAUUGCAAGAUGAGUGAAGAUGCUCAUUAACCGUAGUUAGACGAAAAGACCCCGUGAAGCUUUACUACAACUUGUUCUUGGGUUCAUGUUUCGCAUGUUCAGCGUAGGUGGGAGCCGCAAGGCACCAAUGAGACACCACCCUUGCGUUACGUGAAUUCUAACCAGACGCCGUGAAUCCGGUGUCAGGGACAGGAACUGGUGGGUAGUUUACCUGGGGCGGGUGCCUCCUAAAGAGUAACGGAGGCGUUUACAAAGGUCGGCUUGGCGCGGAUGGAAAUCGCGCUGGACGUGCAAACGCAUAAGCCGGCUUUACUGCAAGACCUACAAGUCGCGCAGUCGCGAAAGCGGAAGUUAGUGAUCCGACCAUUCAAUAUAGGAUGGUGGAAGCUCAUCGGAUAAAAGCUACUCCGGGGAUAACAGGCUGAUCGCGCCCAAGCGUCCACAGCGACGGCGCGGUUUGGCACCUCGAUGUCGGCUCAUCGCAUCCUGGGGGUGAAGAAGCUCCCAAGGGUUUGGCUGUUCGCCAAUUAAAGCGGUACGUGAGCUGGGUUCAGAACGUCGUGAGACAGUUCGGUCUCCUAUCUACUAUGGUCGUUUGAGGAUUGAAGGGACGCUUCUCUAGUACGAGAGGACCGAGAAGCAUAGACCUCCUGUGUACCGGUUGUCCUGCCAAGGGCAUUGCCGGGUAGCGGCGUCUAGUUCGGAUAAGCGCUGAAGGCAUCUAAGCACGAAGCCGACCCUAAGAUAAGUCCUCGUUAUCAGACUCCUGCGAGACCAGCAGGUUGAUAGGCCGUACGUGGAAGCGUGGUAACACGUGAAGCGGAGCGGUACUAAUAAGUCGAGCUCUACAACCA
rfam:Candidatus Thrbacteria bacterium RIFOXYB2_FTLL_57_15 rifoxyb2_full_scaffold_559, whole genome shotgun sequence.